rnacentral:lncRNA from 1 species
AGUUGGGUGCUCCAGGCUCCACCUGGGCUCUGCUGACUGAGGAGGCCUCAGCCAGCAGCAGGCCCGAAGCUCACCAGCCAGGCCCCAGGAGCUCCACACAGCAACAGAUCUCUCUUUGGGGGUAAAAGAGUGGAGAUGGGAUGAUUUGCUCAGUGCUGACAGCAUUCUUACUAACAAAACGUGAUAAUUUUGGUUUGGAUGUGACUCUCCAGGCUUCAUCCAUCCCUCAGGCUAAGGGAUUUUGCUGCCCAUUGACUUUGGUGGAUUCCCUGAAUCACCUUCCCACUUUUCCUGAGUACUUGGAUCCAAGGAGCAGGCUGACCACGAGGAGCACUCAUGCCAAGGCAGAUGCGUGGUGCUGCUGAUCGUGCCAGGAGCUGUUUGUUAAUUGAUGGCAACCAAUUACUAUACCAGGGGAGCCCGGAGUUAAUAUUUUUGGUUUCAAAGCUUCACUUUAUUUGAGACUCUAUAAAUACAUUCUCAUGAAGUAUUUAUACACCCUAACCCAGCUCAGAGGAAGAAACAGAAGUAAUGGUGGCAUUUGUUCCAUUAGCUGCUAUCCUGGUCUUGCACCAAGAAGUUUUUUGUAUCAGAAGAUGCUAUCAACUGUGCUCUCUGUCUUUGGACUGAAUUUGCAAAUUGCCAAACACCUUCAGCUGUUAUUUGCAGCAACGAGAACUAAGUUCACAGCCCGUUUCUGGUAUAGGACUUGA